rnacentral:rRNA from 1 species
CAGAGGCCUCAAGCGUUAGGCGGAAUCACUGGGCUUAAAGCGUGUGUAGGCGGAUCGUUAAGUACCUUGUGAAAUCCCACGGCUCACCCGUGGAACUGCUGGGUAUACUGGCGAUCUUGGGCCAACUAGGGGCAGCUGGAACAAGCGGUGGAGCGGUGAAAUGCGUAGAUAUCGCUUGGAACGCCGAAGGUGAAAACAGGCUGCUGGGGUUGUGCCGACGCUGAGACACGAAAGCCAGGGGAGCAAACGGGAUUAGAUACCCCGGUAGUCCUGGCCCUAAACGAUGUCCACUAGAUUGCGGUCCCUUUGACGGGGAUCGCGGUCGAAGCAAAAGUGUUAAGUGGACCGCCUGGGAAGUACGGUCGCAAGGCUA